CGGCGGACGGGUGAGUAACACGUGGAUAACCUACCUAUAAGACUGGGAUAACUUCGGGAAACCGGAGCUAAUACCGGAUAAUAUAUUGAACCGCAUGGUUCAAUAGUGAAAGACGGUUUUGCUGUCACUUAUAGAUGGAUCCGCGUCGCAUUAGCUAGUUGGUAAGGUAACGGCUUACCAAGGCAACGAUGCGUAGCCGACCUGAGAGGGUGAUCGGCCACACUGGAACUUAGACACGGUCCAG
rnacentral:rRNA from 1 species